UCGAGAAUCUUCCACCAAUGUGCGAAAGCAUGAUGGAGCGACGCCGCGUGGGCGAUGAAGGCCUUCGGGUUGUAAAGCCCUGUUGGAUGGGCGUAAUCCCUGGGGAUGAAUACUCUUCCAGGUUGAACUCCCAUCGGAGGAAGCACCGGCUAAACUCGUGCCAGCAGCCGCGGUAAUACGAGUGGUGCGAGCGUUGUUCGGAAUUACUGGGCAUAAAGAGCACGUAGGCGGUCUGGUAAGUCUGCUGUGAAAUCCCCCGGCUCAACCGGGGAACUGCAGCUGAUACUGCUGGGCUAGAGUGCGGGAGGGGAGAGCGGAAUUCCUGGUGGAGCGGUGAUAUGCGUAGAUAUCAGGAGGAACGCCGGAGGCGAAAGCGGCUCUCUGGUCCGCAACUGACGCUGAGGUGCGAAAGCUAGGGGANCGAACAGGAUUAGAUACCCCAGUAGUCCCUGAGCGGGCUGGCAAGGCGCAU
rnacentral:rRNA from 1 species